UCAGGGAUGAGUGCAGUCGGAUAAGGUGAUGGACUGGAGAUCAGAAGGUUGCUGGUUCGAUCUCCAGCUCCACUGGG